CUUCCUUAUGUUAUCAAUCAUAGUUAUCUUUUAUGUAACAAAAACUGAGUAGCAAAAUACUUACGUGUGCUCAUUCACUUCAGUUGUGUCUGGCUCUUUGUGACCCUAUGGACUAUAGCCCAACAGGCUCCUCUGUCCAUGGGAUUCUCCAGGCAAGAAUACUGGAGUGGGUUGCCAUUCACUUCUCCAUGGGAUAGUCUCGACCCAGGGAUCUAACCCAGGUCUCUUGCACUGCAGGCAGAAUCUUUGCCCACUGAGCCACCUGGGAAGCCCUGCAAAAUACUUUUAUACAAGUCUGCUAAGAAGUUGGAACACAGAUCCAGACAACGUCUCCUAGAGACAGCCCAGGAGAGUGAAAAGAGCAGAGGCUGUGUGUUUUCUCACAACUCCACCAGCUCGGUGAACUUGGGCAAGUCACUUGACCUCUGUGGGACUCAAUAACACGGUCUAUAAAACAUGACAACAUUGUCAACCCAGAAAGCAAUCAAUAAAGAUAAAGCUCUGGUUGCCCCAAAAAGGAGGUUGGACUAAAUUGAAUCUUCUGAUUCCAAUUUUAUGAACUGCAAUAAAAUCUCUCUAGGGUGCAGGAUUACAUCUGUGUUGAAGAAUGACUACAUUAAGACAAUUAUCAGACGCUCUUUAUGCUUCCAAAUUGGAGGCACUUUAUCUAUGCUGACACUAGUGACUAACUUUUAG
rnacentral:lncRNA from 1 species